UACGUAGGGUGCGAGCGUUAAUCGGAAUUACUGGGCGUAAAGCGUGCGCAGGCGGUUUUGUAAGCCAGGUGUGAAAUCCCCGGGCUCAACCUGGGAAUGGCAUUUGGGACUGCAAGGCUGGAGUGUGGCAGAGGGGGAUGGAAUUCCGCGUGUAGCAGUGAAAUGCGUAGAUAUGCGGAGGAACACCGAUGGCGAAGGCAAUCCCCUGGGCCUGCACUGACGCUCAUGCACGAAAGGGUGGGGAGCAAACAGG
rnacentral:rRNA from 1 species